rnacentral:rRNA from 1 species
UGAGUAACACGUGGGUGAUCUGCCCUGCACUCUGGGAUAAGCUUGGGAAACUGGGUCUAAUACCGGAUAUGACCACAGCAUGCAUGUGUUGUGGUGGAAAGAUUUAUCGGUGCAGGAUGGGCCCGCGGCCUAUCAGCUUGUUGGUGGGGUAAUGGCCUACCAAGGCGACGACGGGUAGCCGACCUGAGAGGGUGACCGGCCACACUGGGACUGAGACACGGCCCAGACUCCUACGGGAGGCAGCAGUGGGGAAUAUUGCACAAUGGGCGGAAGCCUGAUGCAGCGACGCCGCGUGAGGGAUGAAGGCCUUCGGGUUGUAAACCUCUUUCAGCAGGGACGAAGCGUGAGUGACGGUACCUGCAGAAGAAGCACCGGCUAACUACGUGCCAGCAGCCGCGGUAAUACGUAGGGUGCGAGCGUUGUCCGGAAUUACUGGGCGUAAGGAGUUCGUAGGCGGUUUGUCGCGUCGUUUGUGAAAACCCGGGGCUCAACUUCGGGCUUGCAGGCGAUACGGGCAAACUUGAGUGUUUCAGGGGAGACUGGAAUUCCUGGUGUAGCGGUGAAAUGCGCAGAUAUCAGGAGGAACACCGGUGGCGAAGGCGGGUCUCUGGGAAACAACUGACGCUGAGGAACGAAAGCGUGGGUAGCAAACAGGAUUAGAUACCCUGGUAGUCCACGCCGUAAACGGUGGGCGCUAGGUGUGGGUUCCUUCCACGGGAUCUGUGCCGUAGCUAACGCAUUAAGCGCCCCGCCUGGGGAGUACGGCCGCAAGGCUAAAACUCAAAGGAAUUGGCGGGGG